CACGUAGGGGGCGAGCGUUGUCCGGAUUUAUUGGGCGUAAAGAGCUCGUAGGCGGCUCAGUAAGUCAGGUGUGAAAACUCCAGGCUCAACCUGGAGACGCCACUUGAUACUGCUGUGGCUAGAGUCCGGUAGGGGAGCAUGGAAUUCCUGGUGUAGCGGUGAAAUGCGCAGAUAUCAGGAGGCACACCAAUAGCGAAGGCAGCUCGCUGGGACGGUACUGACGCUAAGGCGCGAAAGCGUGGGGAGCGAACAGG
rnacentral:rRNA from 1 species